CCUACGGGCGGCAGCAGUGGGGAAUAUUGGACAAUGGGGGCAACCCUGAUCCAGCCAUGCCGCGUGUGUGAAGAAGGCCCUCGGGUUGUAAAGCACUUUCAGUGAGGAAGAACGCCUGGUGGUUAAUACCCAUCAGGAAAGACAUCACUCACAGAAGAAGCACCGGCUAACUCCGUGCCAGCAGCCGCGGUAAUACGGAGGGUGCGAGCGUUAAUCGGAAUUUCUGGGCGUAAAGCGCGCGUAGGUGGCUUGAUAAGCCGGUUGUGAAAGCCCCGGGCUCAACCUGGGAACGGCAUCCGGAACUGUCAAGCUAGAGUGCAGGAGAGGAAGGUAGAAUUCCCGGUGUAGCGGUGAAAUGCGUAGAGAUCGGGAGGAAUACCAGUGGCGAAGGCGGCCUUCUGGACUGACACUGACACUGAGGUGCGAAAGCGUGGGUAGCAAACAGGAUUAGAUACCCGUGUAGUC
rnacentral:rRNA from 1 species